rnacentral:rRNA from 1 species
CCCUUAGAUGUCCUGGGCCGCACGCGCGCUACACUGAACGGAUCAGCGCGUUUUCCCUUCCCGAGAGGGACGGGUAACCUGCUGAACCCCGUUCGUGGUAGGGAUCGGGGCUUGCAAUUAUUCCCCGUGAACCAGGAAUGCCCAGUAAGUGCAAGUCAUAAGCUUGCGUUGAUUACGUCCCUGCCCUUUGUACACACCGCCCGUCGCACCUACCGAUUGAAUGGUCCGGUGAAAUCUCGGGACGGCGGCUCGGUCGCUUGCGUCCGACUGCUGAAACUUGAUUAAACCAUAUCAUUUAGAGGAAGGUGAAGUCGUAACA